AACAGAGGGCGCUAUAUUUGUUAUCACUAGAGGGCACUAUUGGUAAAUGUUGGCAGCGGCAUGCGCAAAUCGGGAAUUAAUUAAAAGGUUUGAAACAUUUGCUGGCACACAGGUGAGAUGAAGUGUCCGACUCCUUCAUGUCCUUGGACUAGUCGUGCUAGUAUUCAGCGGUAUUUACGUAGCCUGCAUGUACAAUCUGACCAUGUGUACAUGUUCUACUGAGAGUGACACUUAGAGGAGUCCAGAGCACGAGCUGCUGGGUGAGCCGGUGCUCAUUGUACAUCCAGUUUAAUGGAUGUGCUCAUUGUUAAGAACUUUUCCCCUCUCAAUUGUGACAUAACUAAGGCUCCAACAGUCUAAAUUUUUGAAGAAAUCUGUUCCUGAAUAGUCCAUGCUUCAAAUCGAGGAGGAGGAGUACUAUUACCUCUUGGCUUAGAAGAUCUACAAGAUCCAGAAGGAGCUGCAGGAGAAGCAACAGAAGAGGAUGUAGGAUGCAGGAGAUAUUAGGCACUGACGCAUGAGACAGCAGACACUGAUGCAGCUGCUGGAGACAUCCCCAUGACAACAGCAGCGCUGCUGUCCCAGCCACAGCCUCCCCACUAACUGCCCAGACCAUUAUGUUCACUGGGAAAAUGUAGCUCUUUCAACCAACGUGAAUCAGAAUUAUGCUGUACAUAACUAUAUGGUCUUGAAGGUUUAUUUUGGUGUCAGUGUUGGUUUGGCUCAGCAAUGAAAAGUGGACUGGUAGAAUGGGGCGUCAGGUUGGCAUAGUGACACUUUUGUCACCUUCCACUUCUGUGAGUCCAGCCCAGGUUUAAUGUGUGGAUUGUUCAGUCUUUACUUAACUUUGUUGGUUUUUCUCUAUAAUAUUCAUGUGGAGUUUUUCCUUCCACUUCUAAAACUGAACACUGUUCUCAUAUAUUUGCAGUUGUUAUUUGAAAUUGUAGAUUGUCACAUUUAUCAAGUGGUUACUGGCAGCCCAUUGAAAAACAUCCUAGAGAUUAAAUUGCUACCAUCAGUUGUGGUCAUAAUACAGACUGAUCAUUUGUGAUUCACUCAAGGAAGUCUGUACACAGGUUAACAUGAAUUUGGUGUGUGAUUUCUACUUACAGUUUUAUUUCAAUUCAAAACAUCGGU